rnacentral:rRNA from 1 species
AUUGAACGCUGGCGGCAUGCCUUACACAUGCAAGUCGAACGGUAACAGGUCUUCGGAUGCUGACGAGUGGCGAACGGGUGAGUAAUACAUCGGAACGUGCCCGAUCGUGGGGGAUAACGGAGCGAAAGCUUUGCUAAUACCGCAUACGAUCUACGGAUGAAAGCAGGGGACCGCAGGGCCUUGCGCGGACGGAGCGGCCGAUGGCAGAUUAGGUAGUUGGUGGGAUAAAAGCUUACCAAGCCGACGAUCUGUAGCUGGUCUGAGAGGACGACCAGCCACACUGGGACUGGGACACGGCCCAGACUCCGACGGGGGGCAGCAGUGGGGAAUUUUGGACAAUGGGCGAAAGCCUGAUCCAGCCAUGCCGCGUGCAGGAUGAAGGCCUUCGGGUUGUAAACUGCUUUUGUACGGAACGAAAAGCCUCUUUCUAAUAAAGAGAGGUCAUGACGGUACCGUAAGAAUAAGCACCGGCUAACUACGUGCCAGCCGCCGCCGUAACAC